AUGAAGAGUUUGAUCCUGGCUCAGGAUGAACGCUAGCUACAGGCUUAACACAUGCAAGUCGAGGGGCAGCAUGGUCUUAGCUUGCUAAGACUGAUGGCGACCGGCGCACGGGUGAGUAACACGUAUCCAACCUGCCGUCUACUCUUGGACAGCCUUCUGAAAGGAAGAUUAAUACAAGAUGGCAUCAUGAGUCCACAUGUUCACAUGAUUAAAGGUAUUCCGGUAGACGAUGGGGAUGCGUUCCAUUAGAUAGUAGGCGGGGUAACGGCCCACCUAGUCUUCGAUGGAUAGGGGUUCUGAGAGGAAGGUCCCCCACAUUGGAACUGAGACACGGUCCAAACUCCUACGGGAGGCAGCAGUGAGGAAUAUUGGUCAAUGGGCGAGAGCCUGAACCAGCCAAGUAGCGUGAAGGAUGACUGCCCUAUGGGUUGUAAACUUCUUUUAUAAAGGAAUAAAGUCGGGUAUGCAUACCCGUUUGCAUGUACUUUAUGAAUAAGGAUCGGCUAACUCCGUGCCAGCAGCCGCGGUAAUACGGAGGAUCCGAGCGUUAUCCGGAUUUAUUGGGUUUAAAGGGAGCGUAGAUGGAUGUUUAAGUCAGUUGUGAAAGUUUGCGGCUCAACCGUAAAAUUGCAGUUGAUACUGGAUAUCUUGAGUGCAGUUGAGGCAGGCGGAAUUCGUGGUGUAGCGGUGAAAUGCUUAGAUAUCACGAAGAACUCCGAUUGCGAAGGCAGCCUGCUAAGCUGCAACUGACAUUGAGGCUCGAAAGUGUGGGUAUCAAACAGGAUUAGAUACCCUGGUAGUCCACACGGUAAACGAUGAAUACUCGCUGUUUGCGAUAUACAGCAAGCGGCCAAGCGAAAGCGUUAAGUAUUCCACCUGGGGAGUACGCCGGCAACGGUGAAACUCAAAGGAAUUGACGGGGGCCCGCACAAGCGGAGGAACAUGUGGUUUAAUUCGAUGAUACGCGAGGAACCUUACCCGGGCUUAAAUUGCAGAUGAAUUACGGUGAAAGCCGUAAGCCGCAAGGCAUCUGUGAAGGUGCUGCAUGGUUGUCGUCAGCUCGUGCCGUGAGGUGUCGGCUUAAGUGCCAUAACGAGCGCAACCCUUGUUGUCAGUUACUAACAGGUUCCGCUGAGGACUCUGACAAGACUGCCAUCGUAAGAUGUGAGGAAGGUGGGGAUGACGUCAAAUCAGCACGGCCCUUACGUCCGGGGCUACACACGUGUUACAAUGGGGGGUACAGAGGGCCGCUACCACGCGAGUGGAUGCCAAUCCCCAAAACCUCUCUCAGUUCGGACUGGAGUCUGCAACCCGACUCCACGAAGCUGGAUUCGCUAGUAAUCGCGCAUCAGCCACGGCGCGGUGAAUACGUUCCCGGGCCUUGUACACACCGCCCGUCAAGCCAUGGGAGCCGGGGGUACCUGAAGUGCGUAACCGCGAGGAGCGCCCUAGGGUAAAACUGGUGACUGGGGCUAAGUCGUAACAAGGUAGCCGUACCGGAAGGUGCGGCUGGAACACCUCCUUU
rnacentral:rRNA from 1 species